AUACGGAGGAUCCGAGCGUUAUCCGGAUUUAUGGGUUUAAAGGGUGCGUAGGCGGAUUGGAAAGUCAGCGGUGAAAGUUUGCAGCUUAACUGUAAAAUUGCCAUUGAAACUGUCAGUCUUGAGUGCAAAUGAGGUAGGCGGAAUGUGUUGUGUAGCGGUGAAAUGCAUAGAUAUAACACAGAACACCAAUUGCGAAGGCAGCUUACUGGGAUGCAACUGACGCUGAGGCUCGAAAGUAUGGGUAGC
rnacentral:rRNA from 1 species